AUCGAACGCUGGCGGCAGGCCUAACACAUGCAAGUCGAGCGAUCGGCGGACGGUUGAGUAAUGUAUGGGGACUGCCCGAUAGCUGGGGAUAACUACUGGAAACGGUAGCUAAUCCCGCAUACUAUCGGAUAACCCAUAUGGGAUUAGCUCGUAGGUGAGGUAAUGGCUCACCUAGGCGACGAUCCCUAGCUGGUCUGAGAGGAUGAUCAGCCACACUGGGACGGAGAAACGGCCCAGAAUCCGACGGAGGCAGCAGUGGGGAAUAUUGCACAAGGGGCGAAAGCCUGAUGCAGCAAUGCCGCGUGGAUGAAGAAGGCCAUAGGGUUGUAAAGUACGUUAAGUCGGGAGGCGUUACCGACAGAAGAAGCACCGGCUAACUCCGUGCCAGCAGCCGCGGUAAUUC
rnacentral:rRNA from 1 species